rnacentral:rRNA from 40 species
UUAAAUUGAAGAGUUUGAUCAUGGCUCAGAUUGAACGCUGGCGGCAGGCCUAACACAUGCAAGUCGAACGGUAACAGGAAGCAGCUUGCUGCUUCG